GACAGAGGGGGCAAGCGUUGUCCGGAUUUACUGGGCGUAAAGCGCACGCAGGCGGCUGGGCGCGUGUGGGGUGAAAGCCGCGAGCUUAACUCGCGGUCGCCCCCGCAUACGGCUCGGCUCGAGCCCGGGAGAGGUCCCUCGAAUUGCCGGUGUAGUGGUGAAAUGCGUAGAGAUCGGCAGGAAGACCAAGGGGGAAGCCAGGGGACUGGCCCGCGGCUGACGCUCAGGUGCGAGAGCGUGGGGAGCGAACCGG
rnacentral:rRNA from 1 species